AGAGUUUGAUCCUGGCUCAGAACGAACGCUGGCGGCAGGCUUAACACAUGCAAGUUGAACGGGAACAUACGAUAGCUUGCUAUAGUAUGUGAGAGUGGCGCACGGGUGAGUAAUACAUGGGAACAUACCUUAAAGUGGGGGAUAACUUCUGGAAACGGAUGCUAAUACCGCAUACACCCUGAGGGGGAAAGAUUUAUCGCUUUAAGAUUGGCCCAUGGCAGAUUAGGUAGUUGGUGGGGUAACGGCCUACCAAGCCGACGAUCUGUAGCUGGUCUGAGAGGACGAUCAGCCACAUUGGGACUGAGACACGGCCCAGACUCCUACGGGAGGCAGCAGUGAGGAAUAUUGGGCAAUGGGGGCAACCCUGACCCAGCCAUGCCGCGUGAGUGAAGAAGGUUUUCGAAUUGUAAAGCUCUUUCGGAUGUGACGAUGAUGACGGUAGCAUCUAAAGAAGCCCCGGCAAACUUCGUGCCAGCAGCCGCGGUAAUACGAAGGGGGCGAGCGUUGUUCGGAAUUACUGGGCGUAAAGGGUGUGUAGGUGGACGUGUAAGAUAGCGGUGAAAUGCCGGAGCUCAACUUCGGAAUUGCCAUUAUAACUAUGCGUCUAGAAUUAUAGAGAGGAUAGCGGAAUACCCAGUGUAGAGGUGAAAUUCGUAGAUAUUGGGUAGAACACCAGUGGCGAAGGCGGCUAUCUGGCUAUAUAUUGACACUGAGGCACGAAAGCAUGGGGAUCAAACAGGAUUAGAUACCCUGGUAGUCCAUGCCGUAAACGAUGAAUGCUGGUUGUCGGACGAAUGUUCGGUGACGAAGUUAACGCGAUAAGCAUUCCGCCUGGGGAGUACGGCCGCAAGGUUAAAACUCAAAGGAAUUGACGGGGACCCGCACAAGCGGUGGAGCAUGUGGUUUAAUU
rnacentral:rRNA from 1 species